rnacentral:rRNA from 1 species
GAGUUUGAUCCUGGCUCAGGACGAACGCUGGCGGCGUGCUUAACACAUGCAAGUCGAACGGAGUUCCUUGGAAAGAGAUUUCGGUCAAUGGAAGAGGACACUUAGUGGCGGACGGGUGAGUAACGCGUGAGGAACCUGCCUCUCAGAGGGGGACAACAGUUGGAAACGACUGCUAAUACCGCAUAAUAUAUCUGUAUCGCAUGGUAUGGAUAUCAAAGAUUUAUCGCUGAGAGAUGGCCUCGCGUCUGAUUAGCUGGUUGGUAGGGUAACGGCCUACCAAGGCGACGAUCAGUAGCCGGACUGAGAGGUUGGCCGGCCACAUUGGGACUGAGAUACGGCCCAGACUCCUACGGGAGGCAGCAGUGGGGAAUAUUGGGCAAUGGGCGCAAGCCUGACCCAGCAACGCCGCGUGAAGGAAGAAGGCUUUCGGGUUGUAAACUUCUUUUAAGAGGGAAGAGCAGAAGACGGUACCUCUUGAAUAAGCCACGGCUAACUACGUGCCAGCAGCCGCGGUAAUACGUAGGUGGCAAGCGUUGUCCGGAUUUACUGGGUGUAAAGGGCGUGCAGCCGGGAGUGCAAGUCAGAUGUGAAAUCCCGCGGCUCAACCGCGGAACUGCAUUUGAAACUGUGCUUCUUGAGUGCUGGAGGGGCAGACGGAAUUCCUAGUGUA